GAUGAAGAACGCAGCGAAAUGCGAUAAGUAAUGUGAAUUGCAGAAUUCAGUGAAUCAUCGAAUCUUUGAACGCACAUUGCGCCCCUUGGUAUUCCGAGGGGCAUGCCUGUUCGAGCGUCAUUAUAACCCCUCAAGCUCAGCUAGGUGUUGGGGCCUGCUGCACUGGCAGCCCUUAAAAUCAGUGGCGGCGCCAUCUGGCUCUAAGCGUAGUAAUUCUUCUCGCUAUGGAGUCCUGGUGGAUGCUUGCCAUCAACCCCCAAUUUUUCUAUGGUUGACCUCGGAUCAGGUAGGGAUACCCGCUGAACUUAAGCAUAUCAAUAAGCGGAGGA
rnacentral:misc_RNA from 1 species